GACGAACGCUGGCGGCGUGCUUAACACAUGCAAGUCGAACGGAAAGGCCCUGCUUUUGUGGGGUGCUCGAGUGGCGAACGGGUGAGUAACACGUGAGUAACCUGCCCUUGACUUUGGGAUAACUUCAGGAAACUGGGGCUAAUACCGGAUAGGAGCUCCUGCUGCAUGGUGGGGGUUGGAAAGUUUCGGCGGUUGGGGAUGGACUCGCGGCUUAUCAGCUUGUUGGUGGGGUAGUGGCUUACCAAGGCUUUGACGGGUAGCCGGCCUGAGAGGGUGACCGGCCACAUUGGGACUGAGAUGCGGCCCAGACUCAUACGGGAGGAAGCAGUGGGGAAUAUUGCACAAUGGGCGGAAGCAUGAUGCAGCAACGCCGGGUGCGGGAUGACGGCCUUCGGGUUGUAAACCGCUUUCGCCUGUGACGAAGCGUGAGUGACGGUAAUGGGUAAAGAAGCACCGGCUAACUACGU
rnacentral:rRNA from 1 species